GCGUAAGCGCACGCAGGCGGUCUGUCAAGUCGGAUGUGAAAUCCCCGGGCUCAACCUGGGAACUGCAUUCGAAACUGGCAGGCUAGAGUCUUGUAGAGGGGGGUAGAAUUCCAUGUGUAGCGGUGAAAUGCGUAGAGAUCUGGAGGAAUACCGGUGGCGAAGGCGGCCCCCUGGACUGAGACUGACGCUCAGGUGCGAAAGCGUGGGGAGCAAACAGGAUUAGAUACCCUGGUAGUCCACGCCGUAAACGAUGUCUACUUGGAGGUUGUGCCCUUGAGGCGUGGCUUCCGGAGCUAACGCGUUUAGUCGACCGCCUGGGGAGUACGGGCGCAAGGGUAAAACUCAAAUGAAUUGGCGGGGGCCCCCACCAGCGGUGGAACAUGUGGUUUAAUUCCAUGCAACGCCAAAAACCUUACCUACUCUUGACAUCCAGAGAACUUACCGGAGAUGCUUUGGUGCCUUCCGGAACUCUGAGACAGGUGCUGCAUGGCUGUCGUCCGCUCGUGGUGUGAAAUGGUGGGUUAAGUCCCGCAACGAGCGCCACCCUUAUCCUUUGUUGCCAGCGGUUAGGCCGGGGACUCAAAGGAGACUGCCAGUGAUAAACUGGAGGAAGGUGGGGAUGACGU
rnacentral:rRNA from 1 species